CUUGGCGGUGUUAAAAUUAAGAAUCCAGGUCCGCCAUUACGUGUAGGACUAUCAAGAAACCAUAAGUGCUGUUGGAAUGAAGUUCGACUAUAUAUGUCUCAAAGUGAAUGGUUUGAACCCGGGAACUCUGAAGAUGACUACCGCUAAGGUUGUCGAAACGUCAGUCAACAUCAACACGAACUGUCCUUCUUAGGACUUUAUUGUCAUGGGUGAUCUACAUCUAUAAACAUAUAUAUAUACGUCAAAUGUCAUUUGUGACUGUUGUGGGACAUCUAACCGUGGUUAAAUAUGAUUAACAACAGAAUGUAAAUUUGUAUUAUAGGCUAUAACGUCUUCCCAAAUAAAAUAAGAAAAUUGAGCACUUUUGUAAGUUACAAGAAAAAUAUGCAUGUGUAUAUGUUUUCAAAGUUCCUUUGUCGACGCAUCCUUGUAAAAAUCUCACUUUUGAAACAUGUUUUUCCAUAUUUGUACAUUAUCAUACAUUAGGGCAUUGUCAA